rnacentral:lncRNA from 1 species
UGUUCUUCAGGAAUCAUAAUCACUCCUUACAGUCACAGCAUGAGGACGAAACGUUAUAGAUGGAUUUCUUCGUAUUUCUUUGUGUGACAGAUGCAAGAUAAAUCUGCUCCAGAAGUACCAUCUUCUAAAAAUGUAAAGGCUUCUUGUCCUUUCAUUUUUAGUUCUUCUGUAUUAUAGGUGUUCUGAAAUUUCUCUUAAACCACUGAUAGGUUUGACUCCGCCUAACUUGUAGGUCUUCUUUGUUUAACUUAAAUGUUUGAUCAGUUUGGCUUCUAGUUGAUUACCUAUUAUGUGUGAAUUCAG